rnacentral:rRNA from 1 species
UACGUAGGAGGCAAGCGUUAUCCGGAUUUACUGGGCGUAAAGCGUGUGCAGGCGGUUUGGUAAGUUGGAUGUGAAAUCUCCUGGCUCAACCAGGAGGUGUCGUUCAAAACUGCCAGACUCGAGGACGGUAGAGGAGAGUGGAAUUCCCGGUGUAGUGGUGAAAUGCGUAGAUAUCGGGAGGAACACCAGUGGCGAAAGCGGCUCACUGGGCACCACCUGACGCUGAGGCGCGAAAGCGUGGGGAGCGAACCGG